UAUUUGGUAUUUAUAAAUUCAAUAUAACUAACUGACAUUUCUUUUUCAGUUAACAGCGUAGAAGACCUUUCAAAAUUGGCCCAGUCUUCAGAAAAAACAAAACAGGUAUGUAAUCAGGUACAAGUAAAAUUGGCCAAACAAAAUGGCCCAGUCGGUGUCUUCUUCAUUAAAAACAUUUCAUUUGAAUUCAAAAUACAAAACAUACUACACCAAUGUGGUUUGAAUAGAACCAAAUGUCAAUGUUCAAUGUUUAUCUCAUAAACAUAUGAAAAAAUCAUCCACUUUAUGAAAAGAAAUUAAGUAAUUUAAUACAAUGUCAACUCACAGUUAAACAGCUACAAUAAAGUUACAUGAAGUCCUAAGAAGCAGCAAAGUAUUGUUAAUUAUUGCCUAAGGUCCGGCCAAACUACAGACUGACAUUGUUGAUUGACAAUUUACUCAUAUCCAGAUUCAAUCGUUUUUUAUAUUAUAGCUGGGACAAUAAAUUAACUAACUUGUUGCAUCAACAUACGACCGCUGACUACCGUUAAUACAUUAUUGUUUUUGAUUUAUAAACCUCUAAAUUCGCAAUACUAUAUGCUGUU